UGACUCUGGGAUAAGCCUGGGAAACCGGGUCUAAUACCGGAUAUGACUGCCGGCCGCAUGGCCUGGUGGUGGAAAGCUUUAUUGCGGUUUUGGAUGGACUCGCGGCCUAUCAGCUUGUUGGCGGGGUAAUGGCCCACCAAGGCGACGACGGGUAGCCGGCCUGAGAGGGUGACCGGCCACACUGGGACUGAGACACGGCCCAGACUCCUACGGGAGGCAGCAGUGGGGAAUAUUGCACAAUGGGCGCAAGCCUGAUGCAGCGACGCCGCGUGAGGGAUGAAGGCCUUCGGGUUGUAAACCUCUUUCAGUAGGGAAGAAGCGAAAGUGACGGUACCUGCAGAAGAAGCGCCGGCUAACUACGUGCCAGCAGCCGCGGUAAUACGUAGGGCGCAAGCGUUAUCCGGAAUUAUUGGGCGUAAAGAGCUCGUAGGCGGUUUGUCGCGUCUGCCGUGAAAGUCCGGGGCUUAACUCCGGAUCUGCGGUGGGUACGGGCAGACUAGAGUGCAGUAGGGGAGACUGGAAUUCCUGGUGUAGCGGUGAAAUGCGCAGAUAUCAGGAGGAACACCGAUGGCGAAGGCAGGUCUCUGGGCUGUAACUGACGCUGAGGAGCGAAAGCAUGGGGAGCGAACAGGAUUAGAUACCCUGGUAGUCCAUGCCGUAAACGUUGGGCACUAGGUGUGGGGGACAUUCCACGUUUUCCGCGCCGUAGCUAACGCAUUAAGUGCCCCGCCUGGGGAGUACGGCCGCAAGGCUAAAACUCAAAGGAAUUGACGGGGGCCCGCACAAGCGGCGGAGCAUGCGGAUUAAUUCGAUGCAACGCGAAGAACCUUACCAAGGCUUGACAUGAACCGGAAUGGCGCAAAAAUGUGUCAGCCACUUGUGGCCGGUUUACAGGUGGUGCAUGGGU
rnacentral:rRNA from 1 species